rnacentral:rRNA from 1 species
AGCGUAGACGGCGAAGCAAGUCUGAAGUGAAAAUCCGGGGCUCAACUCCGGAAGUGCUUUGGAAACUGUUUUGAUAGAGUGUCGGAGAGGUAAGUGGAAUUCCUGGUGUAGCGGUGAAGUGCGUAGAUAUCAGGAAGAACACCGGAGGCGAAGGCGGCUUACUGGACGAUAACUGACGUUGGGGCUCGAAAGCGUGGGAAGCAAACA